rnacentral:lncRNA from 1 species
UCAGUACAGGCGAUCACAAAGUUAACAAUGGAGGAAUAAAUAUCUAGUGACUUGAGAGCAAUAAUUUAUGAGUUACCUUUCACCGUGUGUCAUCUUUGCUUUAUAUCCCCAAAGUCCGGUUUGUCCUGUAUGCAACUGACUUUUCGGGCCCACAGCUUUCAGCCGACUAAGCCCUGUCCAAUCCUCAUUAAAUGCAAUACAGAGAUGACAGUCAAAGUUCUAUCCCCAAUCUACACCGGUCAAAGUCUAAGUGGAACCAUACUCAUCUAGUAAUUCGGCCCACUGCAUCCGGACCAAUAGGGCAAGAAUAAUCAUAACCCCAGGGAGGAGCCCAUUAAGUCUGGCCCAAUAAGGAAAAGGAUCAUGGCCCAACAUUGCCCCCCAGUCUUUUAUUAAACAGGAGGUUUAAUGAAAGAGUAUAAGUGAAAUCGGUCCAGAAUAAAAAGAAUUAUAAUGAGAUCAACAAAGGCCCAAGAUACAACUUAUCGAGGCCCAUCUGGUGAACAUCAAAUAGCAGCAUAAAUUAAGAUCGAAAGUCCAAUUGAAGAACCUGCUCCAGCCGGACAUACAACAACAAAUAUUUCACCGCCUCCCGAACGACUCAGACCUUCGCCACAAAAACCAUUUUCUUAUGAAUCUAGGCCCGAAGCUGUGGCGACACCGAUGAUCAUCGGUUCGGCAAUAAUUCCAUCAUGGAACUGAUGGGUGAAGGAGUGAAAUACCAGACUAAAGGAAGUUGAGAUUCGACCAUCAAUCUGAACUGAUCGAUUAAUAUUAGUCAUCUGCAAGUAAACACUGUCUCCGGGUACCUCCGUCUCAAAUAUAAAGA